GAUGAACGCUGGUGGCGUGCCUAACACAUGCAAGUCGAGCGAUUCUCUUCGGAGAAGAGCGGCGGACGGGUGAGUAACGCGUGGGUAACCUGCCCUGUACGCACGGAUAACAUACCGAAAGGUAUGCUAAUACGAGAUAACAUGCUUUUAUCGCAUGGUAGAAGUAUCAAAGCUUUUGCGGUACAGGAUGGACCCGCGUCUGAUUAGCUAGUUGGUGAGGUAACGGCUCACCAAGGCGACGAUCAGUAGCCGACCUGAGAGGGUGAUCGGCCACAUUGGAACUGAGACACGGUCCAAACUCCUACGGGAGGCAGCAGUGGGGAAUAUUGCACAAUGGGCGAAAGCCUGAUGCAGCAACGCCGCGUGAGCGAUGAAGGCCUUCGGGUCGUAAAGCUCUGUCCUCAAGGAAGAUAAUGACGGUACUUGAGGAGGAAGCCCCGGCUAACUACGUG
rnacentral:rRNA from 1 species